rnacentral:rRNA from 1 species
UCAGCUUGCUGUUUUGCUGACGAGUGGCGGACGGGUGAGUAAUGUCUGGGAAACUGCCUGAUGGAGGGGGAUAACUACUGGAAACGGUAGCUAAUACCGCAUAACGUCGCAAGACCAAAGAGGGGGACCUUCGGGCCUCUUGCCAUCGGAUGUGCCCAGAUGGGAUUAGCUAGUAGGUGGGGUAAAGGCUCACCUAGGCGACGAUCCCUAGCUGGUCUGAGAGGAUGACCAGCCACACUGGAACUGAGACACGGUCCAGACUCCUACGGGAGGCAGCAGUGGGGAAUAUUGCACAAUGGGCGCAAGCCUGAUGCAGCCAUGCCGCGUGUAUGAAGAAGGCCUUCGGGUUGUAAAGUACUUUCAGCGGGGAGGAAGGGAGUAAAGUUAAUACCUUUGCUCAUUGACGUUACCCGCAGAAGAAGCACCGGCUAACUCCGUGCCAGCAGCCGCGGUAAUACGGAGGGUGCAAGCGUUAAUCGGAAUUACUGGGCGUAAAGCGCACGCAGGCGGUUUGUUAAGUCAGAUGUGAAAUCCCCGGGCUCAACCUGGGAACUGCAUCUGAUACUGGCAAGCUUGAGUCUCGUAGAGGGGGGUAGAAUUCCAGGUGUAGCGGUGAAAUG